AAGAGAAAUGACAGAGAGGUUUAUUGUAAUUGAUUUGAGAUCAAUAAAAUAUAAUAAUAUAUUUCAUGGGUUCGAAUCCCAUUUUCUCU
rnacentral:tRNA from 1 species